ensembl:lncRNA
CUAAUUUAUUAAUAAUUUCAUUCUUUAUGCCUAGGUCAUGAACCCAUUUUGACCUUAUCUUGGUGUACGGCGUUAAGUAUGGAUCAAUGCCUAGUUUCUGCCAUAUUAGUUUCCAAUUUUCCCAGCAAUUUUUAUCAAACAGUAAGUUCUUAUCCCAAAAGCUGGGAUCUUUGGGUUUGUCAAAGACUAGGUUGCUAUAUUUGUUGACUGUUUUAUCCCUUGAACCUAAUCUAUUCCACUGAUCAACUAAUCUAUUCCUUAGCCAAUACCAAAUAGUUUUGGUAACUGCUGCUCUAUAAUAUAAUUUUAGAUCUGGUACAGCUAAGCCACCAUCAUUUGAUUUUUUUUUCAUUAAUUCCCUUGAAAUUCUUGACCUUUUGUUUUUCCAUAUGAACUUUGUUGUUAUUUUUUCUAGGUCAUUAAAAUAGUUUUUUGGGAGUCUGAUUGGUAUAGCGCUAAAUAAAUAGAUUAGUUUAGGUAAUAUUGUCAUCUUUAUUAUAUUUGCUAGCCCUAUCCAAGAGCAUUUAAUAUUUUUCCAAUUGGUUAGAUCAGACUUAAUUUGCGUGAAAAGUGGUCUGUAAUUUUGCUCAUAAAGUUUCUGAUUUUCCCUUGGCAGAUAGAUUCCUAAAUAUUUUAUAUUAUCAGUAGUUACUUUAAAUGGAAUUUCUUUUUGUAACUCUGACUGUUGAAUUUUGUUAGUGAUAUAUAAGAAUGCUGAUGACUUCUGUGGGUUUAUUUUGUAACCAGCAACUUUGCAAAAGUUGUGGAUUAUUUCUAAUAACUUUUUAGGAGAAUCUCUGGGGUAAUCUAAGUAUACCAUCAUGUCGUCGGCAAAGAGUGAUAAUUUGGUUUCCUCAUUGCCUUAUUCUUAUUCCUUUAAUCUUUCUCAGCUCUUAUUGCCAAAGCUAGCGUUUCUAAUACAAUAUUAAAUAGUAACGGUGAUAGCGGCAACCUUGUUUCACUCCAGAUCUUAUUGGGAAUGGUUGCAGUUUGUCUCCAUUACAUAUGAUGCUUACUGAUGGUUUUAAAUAGAUGCUGCUGAUUAUUUUAAGGAAAAGUCCAUUUAUUCCUAUACUCUCAAGUGUUUUUAAGAGGAAUAGAUGUUGGAUUUUGUCAAAUGCUUUUUCUGCAUCUAUUGAGAUGAUCAUAUGGUUUUUGUUAAUUUGGUUAUUGAUAUGGCCAAUUAUAUUGAUAGUUUUCUUAAUAUUGAAACAGCCCUGCAUUCCUGGUAUAAAUCCUACUUGAUCAUAGUGUAUUAUCCUGGGGAUGAUUUUCUGUCGUCUUUUUGCUAAUAUCUUAUUUAAGAUUUUAGCAUCAAUAUUCAUUAGGAAGAUUGGUCUAUAAUUUUCUUUCUCUGUUUUCAACCUACCUGGUUUAGGUAUCAGUACCAUGUCUGAGUCAUAGAAGGAAUUUGGUAGGACUCCUUCCUUCCCUAUUUUAUCAAAUAAUUUACAUAGCAUUGGGGCCCAUUGUUCUUUAAAUGUUUGGUAAAAUUCACAUGUAAAUCCAUCUGGUCCUGGGGAUUUUUUCAUAGGGAGUUGUUUAAUUGCCUGUUCUAUUUCUUUUUCUGAAAUGGGACUAUUCAAGCAAUUUACUUCCUC